UGAGAGAUGGCUCAGUGGUUCAGAGCACUGGUUGCUCAUACAGAGGACCUGGGUUUGAUUCCUAGCAUUUCAU
rnacentral:tRNA from 1 species